UACGGAGGAGGCAAGCGUUAUCCGGAAUUAUUGGGCGUAAAGCGUCCGCAGGUGGCACUUCAAGUCUGUCGUCAAAGACUGGGGCUUAACCCUGGAAAGGCGGUGGAAACUGAAGCGCUAGAGUGCGGUAGGGGUAGAGGGAAUUCCCGGUGUAGCGGUGAAAUGCGUAGAGAUCGGAAAGAACACCGGUGGCGAAAGCGCUCUACUGGACCGCAACUGACACUCAGGGACGAAAGCUAGGGGAGCGAAUGGG
rnacentral:rRNA from 1 species